GUGGGGAAUCUUCCGCAAUGGACGAAAGACUGACGGAGCAACGCCGCGUGAGUGAAGAAGGUUUUCGGAUCGUGAAGCUCUUUCGUUAGGGACGAACGUGCUCUUUGUAAAUAAUGAGGAGUAAUGACGGUACCUAAAUAAGAAGCCACGGCUAACUACGUGCCAGCAGCCGCGGUAAUACGUAGGUGGCACGCGUUGUCCGGAAUUAUUGGGCGUAAAGCGCGCGCAGGCGGGAUAUCAAGUCUGUCUUAAAAGUGCGAGGCUCAACCUCGUGAGGGGACAGAAACUGGUAGUCUGGAGUGUCGUAGAGGAAAGUGGAAAUCCAAGUGUUGCGGUGAAAUGCUUAGAGAUUUGGAAGAACACCGGUGGCGAUAGCGACUUUCUGGACGAUGUCUGACGCUGAGGCGCGAAAGCAAGGGGAGCGAACGGGAUUAGAUACCCCGGUAGUCC
rnacentral:rRNA from 1 species